rnacentral:rRNA from 1 species
UACAUGUGGGGCAAGCGUUGUUCGGAAUUACUGGGCAUAAAGGGUGCGUAGGUGGCUUGUUAAGUCAGGGGUGAAAGUUUUCGGCCCAACCGGAAAAUGGCCUUUGAUACUGGCGAGCUCGAGUGCGUGAGGGGUAACCGGAACGAGCAGUGUAGCGGUGAAAUGCGUAGAUAUUGCUCGGAAGGCCAACGGCGAAGGCAGGUUACUGGUGCGCAACUGACACUGAGGCACUAAAGCGUGGGGAGCAAACAGG